rnacentral:lncRNA from 1 species
AAUUUUUAGGCUAUCACAGAUAUUUCCUUGUAAAAUUUAUCUUUCAACACUAUUUAAAGUACGCCUUACUUUGAUUUUUCUGAGCCUCAACCUUAUACAAACCUCACCCUAAUUAAAAUAACAUUAAUUUUUCUGAGCCUCAACCUUAUACAAACCUCACCCUAAUUAAAAUAACAUUAAUGUAUUGGUAAUAAAGUGACAUUAUUAUUGUGAGUGUUGGUGACACGAAAACCAGUGCUUUUGGCGUUUUAUCACGUUGGAUUUUUGUGACCUUUAAAGGCCUCAUGAGAUCUUGUAUGAGCAUUGUAUAUGAUGAAUCAUAAACUCAGUGAGAGUGUGAUCCUCUUAUAGACCAUACUAAGCAAAUGCAAUUUGCUGAUACUCAAACUAUGCUUGACGUGCUAAGCCAACAAAUUUGAAAAACCCAAAAUACCUGGGUAUAGAGAUAUAAUCAAUGAGCGUUUAGUAGGUUAGCCUUUAAUGAGGUUGGAGUAUGCUCGGAUGAGAGACGAGGGACUAUGUGACCCUUGUUUGUGAUGAAUAGUCUAUAGAGACAGGGCGAAAACAUCAUCGUUAUAUCAUCACACGGCAUGUACAUAGAUAGUCGUAUUAAAAUAGUAAUCCACCAUUGAGGGUGAAGCGUGUACAUGUGCGAGAGAUUAUCCCUAUGCAACAUAGAGUCAUGAUUGCAUCAUAGUAUGGCCGAUCAUGAUUUGUCUCUAGGGGAGAAUCUGAAAUCUAUAGACUGGGAUUACAUCCUCUAGCCCAUUGAUUGACUGACUUUGGUGGUCCAAUCCUGAGCCCCUGUAGUGGACUGUGAGUCAUGGAAACUGCUGGGUCAGUUUGAAAAAGCUAGUGUGGAUCGUGGUCCACAGUUGAAGGCGGAGUGCUUCUAUGCGUUGACUAAAUCCUAG